GAAUAUUGGUCAAUGGGGGAAACCCUGAACCAGCAACGCCGCGUGAAGGAAGAAGGCUUUCGGGUUGUAAACUUCUUUGACAGGGGACGAAACAAAUGACUGUACCCUGAAAACAAGCCACGGCUAACUACGUGCCAGCAGCCGCGGUAAUACGUAGGUGGCGAGCGUUAUCCGGAUUUACUGGGUGUAAAGGGCGCGUAGGCGGGCAUGCAAGUCAGAUGUGAAAUCUAUGGGCUUAACCCAUAGCGUGCAUUUGAAACUGUGUGUCUUGAGUGAUGGAGAGGUAAGUGGAAUUCCUAGUGUAGCGGUGGAAUGCGUAGAUAUUAGGAGGAACACCAGUGGCGAAGGCGGCUCACUGGCCUGUAACUGACGCUGAGGCUCGAAAGCGUGGGGAGCAAACA
rnacentral:rRNA from 1 species